AGACUAUCAAGCCUGGCUUGGUCUUGGGCGCGGUCUUGGGACCCGCCCGUAACCCGUCGGCGGUGCCGGUUCGGCCCUGAGCGUAGCAGAGAUACUCGCUCCGGGGCCGCGGCGGCGCCCGCUAGCAGUCUUUACCUACG
rnacentral:misc_RNA from 1 species